CACAUGGUUAAACCCAGGCUCUACUCGCGCCACUUUCGCAAUCUUACUACGAUUCCCAAACUCCUACCAAAUCAAAAUAAUAGCACAUGGUUAUGUUUUUUUGGAUUAUAUGUCCUAGCUGUAAUACAAUUUCCGAAGUGUAUUUUUGUAGUUUUUGCAGAUAUCCCUGAAACAGUGAGAGUAAACGACCCCCUGUGCAUAGGCCUACCUUCAUCUGGAGCUUUAUUCGUUACGGACUCAAGGGUAUCCUGAUCCAUUCUCUGUGAAUGAACUUCCUCCAGGACUGUGUAAAGUCACUGUAGUGUCAAAGUGCUUACAGUGCAGGUAGUGUUAUAUCUACUGCAGUGAAGGCACUUUCAGCACUAUUCUGACAAUGUAACUGGCUUCAUUGUACACUGAUUUUGCAGGUUUUUGCUACUAGUGCUUAUGCUAAGGUGCAUCUAGUGCAGAUAGUGAAGUAGACUAGCACCUACUGCCCUAAGUGCUCCUUCUGGCAUAAGGGGCUGGGACAUUCAUCUGCUCUGUAGCAAUGUGUUUUAUUUGAGUUUUUGUGUUCUUUGUUCUUUCUCGCAGUUCUCUGCUAGUUUUGCAUAGUUGCGCUGCAAGAAAAAUUACGUUGUGCAAAUCUAUGCAAAACUGACGGUGGCCUGUGUCUCCAUCUGAAGUUUAUUUUUGUGAAUAUUAGUCCAUACUCAAGGACUGACAUUUAGGUUGCCCCCACCGCUCUGUUAAUUUUGUGCAGACAGGUUUCAGCAGUAUUAAAGUGCUUAUAGUGCAGGUAGUUUUAAGAAUUUCUACUGCAGUGUGAGCACUUGAAGUACUUCUAGAUGCGUGCAUCAUCAUGGACAGCAGCAGAGAUGGUAUGUGUACAUGGGUCUCUGGUUAGUUUUGCUGGUUUGCUUUCAGCUUAUCACUGUACCGCUGUGCAAAUCCAUGCAAAACUGAUCAUAGAACUGAAAUAAAUCUGACCAAAGCAUUCCCUUUCUGUGCAGGUUGGGAGAGGUAGCAAUGCUCUGUGCUUGUCUGGUAUUGCACUUGUCCCGGCCUGUUGAGGAUGUGGGGAAUAGUUCUGCUGUAAUAUCUCCUGCGAAAUGGCUCGUAUUCAUACCUGGGAUACAUUCAAAGUUGAUGAUAAUAUGGACAUAUUCACUGCUUUAUCUUUCCUAAUAUGCUUAAGAGCUCAAAUGAUUGAAUUGCCAUGUUCAAGUACCCCCCCCCUCCUCACACAGUCACUUUCAAAAUGAGUUCUUUGGACUAUUGUUGACAUCAUUAUGCUUUAGAUCUUAAUAUGUCAGCAUUGAUUUAGUAUAAAAUCUGAUGACAUUCACUGCUAAGUUUUAAGUUUUAUAUGUAUGCUCAUUUUUGAAAAUAAAAUGUUUACACAGCC